rnacentral:rRNA from 1 species
UACGUAGGGGGCAAGCGUUGUCCGGAAUUAUUGGGCGUAAAGGGCGCGUAGGCGGCGCGGGCAGUCAACGGUGAAAGCUCGGAGCUCAACUCCGAGUCGGCCGUCGAUACUCCCGUGCUUGAGCACUGUAGAGGCAGAUGGAAUUCCGGGUGUAGCGGUGGAAUGCGUAGAGAUCCGGAAGAACACCGGUGGCGAAGGCGGUCUGCUGGGCAGUAGCUGACGCUGAUGCGCGACAGCGUGGGGAGCAAACAGG